rnacentral:lncRNA from 1 species
AAUCAUAACAUUGACUAGGCAUUCAUAAUUAUGGAAUACGCAUGUUAAUCCAGCCUAGAAUUCACUUAACACGAUUGUGGAUAACAACCUUCACUACUUGUGAAUAUAAGUUCAUAACGAUUAGGUGAAAUUCACAUAUAUUGUAGCAUCAAAUUCAUGCAUGUAAAUUAAGUAUGCAUUCUUAAUCGACAUACAAAAAUAAGUUAUCAAUCAAGCAGUUAAGCAAAUUAAAUCACAACUCAGAAAUCACAACUGAAGGUAAUCAAUUCAUAUUACAAAUAUAUUCAUGGCUUUGAAUUAACCUCUAGCCAAAAUAAAAUUAGUUACACAUUAUUCUAACAGAAAUAAACCAAAAGUAAAACAUGAGUUUGAGAAGAUAAAACCAAAAGAUAAGGGAGUUUUGCUCUGUCCGAGGCCUUUCUCGCUGCAAAGGCAGCAAAGCCUUUGGUUCCUUCUGCUCUGUCCCCGUGCUCUCUCAGAUUUGCUGCAAAAGCAGCGUUGUUUUCUUCUACAGUUGCCACGGGGCAGCUCUCUGACCUCUUCCUUGUUUCACGCUGCCAAGAGCAGCAAGAGCUCUCGGUUUCCUCUUCGGUUUCACCCCCAGCUGCAAAGGCAGCCCUUUGGACUCUCUGACCUCCCUUAUCAUUUUUCUUCUUAUCCCCCCCUCUUCU